rnacentral:misc_RNA from 1 species
GAUGAAGAACGCAGCGAAAUGCGAUAAGUAAUGUGAAUUGCAGAAUUCAGUGAAUCAUCGAAUCUUUGAACGCACAUUGCGCCCCCUGGUAUUCCGGGGGGCAUGCCUGUCCGAGCGUCAUUGCUGCCCUCAAGCACGGCUUGUGUGUUGGGCCUCCUCCUCCUCCCGGGGGACGGGCCCGAAAGGCAGCGGCGGCACCGCGUCCGGUCCUCGAGCGUAUGGGGCUUCGUCACCCGCUCUUGUAGGCCCGGCCGGCGCUUGCCGACACAUCAAUCUUUUUUCCAGGUUGACCUCGGAUCAGGUAGGGAUACCCGCUGAACUUAAGCAUAUCAAUAAGCGGAGGA